rnacentral:rRNA from 1 species
AGUAAUGCAUAGGAAUCUACCCAGUAGCGGGGGACAACCUGGUGAAAACCAGGCUAAUACCGCAUACGCCCUACGGGGGAAAGCAGGGGAUCUUCGGACCUUGCACUAUUGGAUGAGCCUAUGUCAGAUUAGCUAGUUGGUGGGGUAAUGGCCUACCAAGGCGACGAUCUGUAGCUGGUUUGAGAGGAUGAUCAGCCACACUGGGACUGAGACACGGCCCAG